rnacentral:rRNA from 1 species
GACGAACGCUGGCGGCGUGCUUAACACAUGCAAGUCGAACGGAAAGGCCCUGCUUUUGUGGGGUGCUCGAGUGGCGAACGGGUGAGUAACACGUGAGUAACCUGCCCUUGCCUUUGGGAUAACUUCAGGAAACUGGGGCUAAUACCGGAUAGGAGCUCCUGCUGCAUGGUGGGGGUUGGAAAGUUUCGGCGGUUGGGGAUGGACUCGCGGCUUAUCAGCUUGUUGGUGGGGUAGUGGCUUACCAAGGCUUUGACGGGUAGCCGGCCUGAGAGGGUGACCGGCCACAUUGGGACUGAGAUACGGCCCAGACUCCUACGGGAGGCAGCAGUGGGGAAUAUUGCACAAUGGGCGGAAGCCUGAUGCAGCAACGCCGCGUGCGGGAUGACGGCCUGCGGGUUGUAAACCGCUUUCGCCUGUGACGAAGCGUGAGUGACGGUAAUGGGUAAAGAAGCACCGGCUAACUACGUG